GACGUAGGGCGCGAGCGUUGUCCGGAUUUAUUGGGCGUAAAGAGCUCGUAGGCGGCUUGUUGCGUCGACCGUGAAAACCCGGGGCUCAACUUCGGGCUUGCGGUCGAUACGGGCGGGCUAGAGUUCGGUAGGGGAGACUGGAAUUCCUGGUGUAGCGGUGAAAUGCGCAGAUAUCAGGAGGAACACCGGUGGCGAAGGCGGGUCUCUGGGCCGAUACUGACGCUGAGGCGCGACAGCGUGGGGAGCAAACAGG
rnacentral:rRNA from 1 species